AAAUUAUAAAACACAUUAAAAAUAAAAAUAUCAAGUAAUUUAAAAAUACAAAACACAUUAAAAAAUUAUAACAAUUAAUUUACAAGUGCAAAAAAUGUGAAAAAGAUAUGCAAACGCUCGUAAUCGCAUCUUCUACGCUUUGAGGAUGGGUACAUUAUCAUUUGAAUUUUUAAAACCAUACAAAACCUCAUGAAUAGUACUUUUAAGGCUGUUCAAAAUAAAUAUUUUAUUUAUUCAUUAAUGUAUGGGUCUGAAAAAUGUGAGCACAUAUAAACAUUCGUAAUUGCAUCCUCUACGCUUAGACAAUGGUUACAUAGUUGUUUAGAUUUUUAAACCCUCCAAAUCUCAUGAAUAGUGUUUUUUAUUUGAGUGCAAAAUUAAUAACAAUUAUUGUAAAAGUGUAAAAAAAUGUAAAACAAAUAAAUAUACAAUCCUUCGUAAUGAUAAGCUUUACAACUUUCGUGAAGGGGUCAACUUCGAAAUUUAGUAUGUAUAUACUAAUUUAGUAUUAUGUUUUAUAUUUUUCUGGGUCAAAUUAUGUUCUUUAUUUUCAUUAUUUCUUGAUUUAAAAUAUAUUUUUCUUAACGGGUAAUGGGUCGGAUCAUAUUAUCUGAUAACAUUAACGGCCCGAUUUUGGAUCGGGUCAUAUUACCCGUUACUUUAACGUGUAUUACACGACACAACCCGUUAAGCUAUAGGGUAUGUGAUACGAAAACGACACA
rnacentral:lncRNA from 1 species